CAAUAGCGUAUAUUAAAGUUGUUGCGGUUAAAAGCUCGUAGUUGGAUUUCUGCUGAGGACGACCGGUCCGCCCUCCGGGUGAGCAUCUGGUUCGGCCUUGGCAUCUUCUUGGUGAACGUAUCUGCACUUGACUGUGUGGUGCGGUACCCAGGACUUUUACUUUGAGGAAAUUAGAGUGUUUCAAGCAGGCACACGCCUUGAAUACAUUAGCAUGGAAUAAUAGAAUAGGACUUUGGUUCUAUUUUGUUGGUUUCUAGGACCGAAGUAAUGAUUAAUAGGGACAGUUGGGGGCAUUCAUAUUCCAUUGUCAGAGGUGAAAUUCUUGGAUUAACGGAAGAUGAACUUCUGCGAAAGCAUCUGCCAAGGAUGUUUUCAUUGAUCAAGAACGAAAGUUAGGGGAUCGAAGACGAUCAGAUACCGU
rnacentral:rRNA from 1 species